GAAAUGCGAUACGUAGUGUGAAUUGCAGAAUUCCGCGAAUCAUCGAGUCUUUGAACGCAAGUUGCGCCCGAGGCUUGUCCGAGGGCAUUUCCGCUAGAGCGUCACC
rnacentral:rRNA from 1 species